UCAUGAAUUUGUGGUUGAAAUUAGGUGAUUGAUUAAAGUUAAAACGCGUGUGGGACCCGCCUGUGACUUAAGUGAGUCAAACUCACCAUUUCUUCACACUUUCUCUCUCCUCCCCUCCUUCUUCUUCACGCUGGAACAGCCUCCCCCAUGCCCAUUUCUUCUUGAUUUUCUUUUCUUCACAAAUCACUCAUUUCUCCACCAAAUCCAACAAAAUUUGUGUUGAAAUUUGUUGGAAAAGACCUUCUAAACACAUUGGUACCACUCUUAAGCCUUGAAAUCGCCUCUUUGUGGAGCAUUUGGCAAAAAUCAGAUCCGAAAAUUUGAAGAAAAUUGGAUGUUCAUGGAGCUUUUGAUCUUCCAUUGCUUGGAGGAGUCUUGGGUUAGCUUCUAGCCUUUGUUGUGAGUUGCCGUACAUCGACUUGAAUCCCGAAUCUUGAUUCAGUGAGUUGCCAUUGGUCUUGGACCAAGUGGAUUGAGGCAUUCCGCUGUGUACCGAGUUGAGGGAUAAGCUGCUGCGGAGCUUGUGGAAACACGAAUUAAGGAGGUAGCAGUGGAGCAGGAGCCUCGGGCAAGAGGCCCGUAGAGUGAGCGAUGUAGCGUUUCUUAUUUUGCAUUUUGUUGGCC